GGGAAAGCUGACAAGAAACAUGAAAGAGCUGAACGCCACUGAGCAGGCCAGUGUACCUCCACUGAGGACUCAGCCUCGCAGGUCUACCCUUGGCCAGACCGCUAGCAUUCUCAAGGGACAGAAAAGUGACGAGCCAGAGAGACAAGGACCGGUAACAAGAAAGCCAGGGUUGCUCAGAUUGCCAACAGCAGCAGCAAAAAGAGUCCGCUUUCGCUGAAGGAAAGAGCAGUCAUUGUAAUUAUCAACCUACAAGUCAUUGAUCUUACAUGUAUGUGGAUUGGAAUAAGAAGAAACAAAGCUAAAAAUAAUUGCUGAUGGUACAGUAUGUAAAAAUGGAGGUGAGUGCACAUAUUGAACCAGACAAGAAAGUAAGAUAUCUCAGUCUGAAUAUAUUGCAUUUGUUUUCCCAAUACAGAAAUUUACAGCUCAAAUAACAAAGUAUGAAAUACACACAUUUUAGGUUUUAUCCUUUCUUUAGAAGCACUGAGUUCCAGAAUACAUUUGUUACAUUUGAUAUUCUCUCUUACUUUAUUAAAGCUUAUAGUUUCAACAUUUAUUAAAAAUACCUUUACAUCCCUUCACAGAGUAUCUAUUAUCUAUUAUAUAAUAAUAACAUUCCUUUGCUGUGAUCCACAAUUUGAUUGUAGCUCAAAUCACAGUACUGUAUUACUGUUACAUAUAAAACAGUGAGAUAAAAUUUAAAAAUGAUUUUUGUGCUAUCUGUAUGAACAGCAGUGGAUUUCUGUGACGUGAACAAUACACACAUAGUAGCAUGGCAACAAAUUAUUGCCUAUCUACAUGUACAUGUACAACAGGAAUCCUCCAGUUAAUUUUCUUUUCUUUUUUUAAAGUUUCAUGCUUUAAUUCAUUAUUACAUUCCAAACUUGUGAUACAAAAUGUCAUAAUGUCUCUUGUAUGUUGUUACUAUCUUGUUAGUUUAUUGCAAAAAUGGCAUACAAUACUGGUACAGGAUUACUUUUAUUCUAAGAAAUUAGUAGUAGUUGUUUACACAUCUAUGAUGUACAUAUGCCAGUAUCAAUGGUUUGCAUAUCAAAUAUAUUGGGAUUAGACAGUGCCACCCAUUUUGACCAUAUAAUAGAUUCAAGGCGUGGUUAUCAGAAUAUUCUUUAAAAUAUUCCUUUUUGGUCCAUUCAAAUAACUAUAUUUAAUAUUACACUUUUCCACUUUUGAGUAGAGCUUUAGUGUACUGAAAUGC